rnacentral:rRNA from 1 species
UACGGGGGGGGCAAGCGUUGUUCGGAAUUACUGGGCGUAAAGGGCUCGUAGGCGGCCAACUAAGUCAGACGUGAAAUCCCUCGGCCUAACCGGGGAACUGCGUCUGAUACUGGAUGGCUUGAGAUUGGGAGAGGGAUGCGGAAUUCCAGGUGUAGCGGUGAAAUGCGUAGAUAUCUGGAGGAACACCGGUGGCGAAGGCGGCAUCCUGGACCAACACUGACGCUGAGGAGCGGAAGCCAGGGGAGCAAACGGG